rnacentral:lncRNA from 1 species
CACAGCUGGAACUAUUGGAACAUUCCAGGAGAUGAAAACAAAGAUUCCCUCCUCCUUCCCUUCCAUCUUACUGAGGACCCAUCAGUCACCCUUGUGAGUGCACUUUAGCCAUAGCAAGAGCAAGAUCAGAGAGAAAUAAGGACUUAUGACCAUUAGACCAGGAGACAGGAAGCGAUGGUUCUGGAAGGGGCUCUGUUACUAACUUUGGAAUUCAACUGUCCAGAUAGAAAGGUGGACAUGGAAAAAUUGGGCUUUGCAAAUGGUCACCCAAUUCUUGCCUUCCUGGUCUCCAGAUCACCCUUCCUAUACCGCCACUCUGGAGAAAGAAGUACAGAACGCUAACAAGAGGAGAUGAGCAUGUGAUUAUUGUUACCACUUGUCUGGAAGCAACCAGAAUGGAGUGGGGAAGACUCAAGGAGGAGAUCUUCACAGGACUCACCUCUCAUCACAGCUCCCGUGUGGUUGUAAUCACCCCAGAGGGAAAAAUAAUUUCGGUUUUUUAUGGUUUAAUUAUUGGUGAUAGCAGCUGUUUUGAAGACACAAACACAGAAGCAAGUUCUAGAACAUACUCACAGUUUCCUUGGUCACAGUGUUGUCAGUGGUUCUAUAAAGGUCUUAUGAAUCUCUACUUAGUUGACCACAAGUAGUAAGCAAGAAACAAUCCUGUAAAGAGAAUGGAGGUCAGAAUAAAGAAGCCUUGAGGGUUUAAAUCGCUUCUUGAAAAGGUAAUAAUAUUUACUCUUUUAAAAAUUAUAAACAAUACAUGUUCCUUUUACAGAAAAAAAAGAAAAAAAUAAGGAAACAGGACAUAAAACUCAUCUGUUAUUCCACCAUCUAGAUACAACUACUGUUAACCCAGGAACACUUAAAGAGUGUUUCAUGAAUAUUUAUGUAUACAUGCAAAUAUAUUUUCUAUCGGUCUUAGUUUACAAAACAGGGAUCCUAUUGUCCUUGCUGUUUUGUGACCUUUUCUUUCAUUGAAUAAGAUAUUAAUGAAUAUCCUUUGCCAGUAAAUAAACUUCAACUCUGUGGUGGACACAUUCUAAGAUGAUUCCCUUUGAUCCCCACCCCCUUGUGUUCUCACCAUUGUAUAACUGUGUGAUCACUCCAUUUGAGUGUGGGCUGAACUUCUGACUUACAUCCAACCAAUUGAAUAUCACAGUGUUGGGAUAUCAUUUCCAAGAUUAGGUUACAAGAAGACUCUAUCUUCUUGCUCAUGCUCUCUUAUUCUCUGGCUUGCUUUCUGCCAUGGAGCCAACUGCCAUGUCAUCAACUGUCUGCCCUACAGAAAUGCCCGUGUGUCAAGGAGCUAAGGGAGACCAGCCCAGGAGGAGCUGAAUCCUGCCAACAAUCACUUGAGUGAACUUGAGAGUGAAUCCUCUCCAUGUUAAGCCUUGAGGUGAUUGUAGCUCCAUCAAAUACCUUCAUUGUAGCCUUGUGAGAGAUCUGAGUCAGAGGAUGGAGUUAAGCCAAGCCCAGAUUCCAGACCCUCAGAAACUGUGAGAUAAUAAAUUUGUUGUUCUAAGCUACUAAGUUUUGGUGUAAAACAGCCAUAGAUAACUGAUACAAAUCACAUAAUUUUUAAUAGCUGCUUCAUAUGUUAAUAUGUCUGUACCAUAAUUUACUCAAUCUUUUGUUGCUGCACAUUUUGGUUAUUUUGUUUUGCUAUUAUAAACAGGGCUGCAAUGAAUAUUAUUGUACUUAAACAUUGGUACACGUUCUUCUUUCCUAAGGAUAAAUUCCUUGAAGUAAAAUAGCUGGCUUUCAAUGGGUAUGCAUUUUUUUAAAGCUUUUGGUAUGUUAUUCCCCAAUCACUUUCUGUUAGGAUUGUAUUCAUUUACAGUCCUGCUGGCUGUAGUUCAGGUUAAUUUCAACUACUUUAUCUUGAGUUGUCUCCAUGAAAACCAGUUAGAAACCGAAACCAAAGCCCCAAACAAGAAAAGCCCCAAACAAGAACCCAGGAAAGAAAACUAAGGUUGAAUCUUGAAAACUAUGAGAUAAAUUUGAAGCUAAACAAUUUUCAAAGUACCAUUGUUUUGAAAUAAGUCUGAUAAAUUCAACCACCCUCAAAUUGUUAUUCUUAUCUUUCAAUGGACACAGAAGUCCUGAAAAUGUGGUGAUACUCAUAGUCUUCACGAACUUUGAAAGGGAAAACAACAAUUUCUCUGGUUGAAGUCAACAUAACAAUAGGCUAGUUUGAAAAUCCUGUUUUUUUUCAGUUGCACAAAGGAUUGUCAAUAAAUUCAACUUUUUAAAUUACU